CAGUAGCCGCGGGAAUACGUAGGUCCCGAGCGUUGUCCGGAUUUAUUGGGCGUAAAGGGAGCGCAGGCGGUUUAGUAAGUCUGAAGUUAAAGGCAUUGGCUCAACCAAUGUAUGCUUUGGAAACUGUUAGACUUGAGUGCAGAAGGGGAGAGUGGAAUUCCAUGUGUAGCGGUGAAAUGCGUAGAUAUAUGGAGGAACACCGGUGGCGAAAGCGGCUCUCUGGCUUGUAACUGACGCUGAGGCUCGAAAGCGUGGGGAGCAAACAGGAUUAGAUACCCCUGUAGUCCCUGUCUCUUAUACA
rnacentral:rRNA from 1 species